rnacentral:rRNA from 1 species
UACGAAGGGAGCUAGCGUUGUUCGGAAUCACUGGGCUUAAAGCGUGUGUAGGUGGAUGUCUAAGUACCUUGUGAAAUCCCACGGCUCAACCGUGGAACUGCUUGGUAUACUGGAUGUCUUGAGCCAGCUAGGGGCUACCGGAACAAAUGGUGGAGCGGUGAAAUGCGUAGAUAUCAUUUGGAACGCCAAUGGUGAAAACAGGUAGCUGGGGCUGUGCUGACACUGAGACACGAAAGCCAGGGGAGCAAACGGG